rnacentral:sRNA from 1 species
GGAAGGCUUUUUAAUUUAUUUAUUCUGCUGGGACUGAGGUGGGGGGCUCGGCUGGCGGGGGAGAGGGGGGUCUCCACGGCUUCUACCUCCCCCGCGGCUGGGGCUACCCUUCGAGCUACGGAACACUCCACGGUGUGCGCCCCCAGGGCCUCCCAAACUGUUUCUAAACUGCCCAGACCGGAGGUGGACGCGUGGAGGCUCGGCGAAAGGGCUGGGUUUCGAGUGGGGUGAUUGUGUGUGUUCGACUACUAGGAGCCUGGGGAGGGAGGCAGACGUCGACCCCAAACGAGUUGCAAUCGAGGUCCGGGAGUGGCGGCGGCCAAUCAGCGCUCGGCUUCCAUUUUGUGAGUGCAACUCUGAGGCUUCCCCGGCUUUCGCGUGGAUCUGUUUGCAGACCUCUCGGUCUCUCUUUUGGGCUGCCGAGGCGAAGCAGCCGCCUCGCCGGGGCUUCGUGGUGGUGUAUUUCAUAUUGGGGCUCUUUUUCGGGGUUUGUAAUUUGGCCGUGGGUAGGUAAUUGGCUGGAGCAGGGCGGCAGGGCGCGGCAGCCAAUCAGCACGCGGCUUCUAUAGGGCUUGAGUUAUUAGACGCUGAUCUCAAAACAUCCUUCAUCAGACUCCAAGGAGAGGCCAACAGAUGAGGGGAGCCAUUUUUCUGCAAUGGAAUUAAAUGGCCAAGUGGGUUUUUCCUUUGUUGCAAAUGGGGAAUGCUUUUCCUUUGACUCCACCAUCCAGUUCAGGACGCCUGAAUGUGUUUAACAUUUGCCAAAGGACUCACACUUGGAAGAAUGAAGAAGACCUUUUAAAAAGAUCUGGAUCUUUCCUUAUGACUUGGAAUCCAUCUUUGUCUUGUAUAACUAGGUCAUAGCACACUAUUAAUGUCAGCAGUUAACAGUUUUGAAUUCAAAAAAACCUAAGUAAAUGACAUAUUUAAUUUUUUUCCUCUUUUUUUCUUGGGUGGGUGGAGGGGAGAGCUUGGAGCUGUCUUAAUCUGUAUUCUCUUGACUGAACAAUAAAUUUUUAAAUAUAGUUUCCUCUAUUAAACACUUAAGCCUGACCAUCUUAUUAACUCUUUUUUAACAAGGUAAUGUUUUAAAUGUAUAGUUGUAGCGAAAUGGCAACAAUAACAAAAAUCUGUGAGCUGUUGUUACUGUUAAGUUUUCUAAAAACCUUUUACAUUGUAAGUACCCAAUCCAUUCUGUCCUUACUGCACUUGAGUUUUCGUGUUACUGUCGCCUGAGAUGAACUGAAUUUUCGGAACCUUCAUCUGCAUGUGUUGUCUUUGUCUCUGUCUGAUGUAAGUCAGUUAAAAUGCUUUUAGACCUUUGCUUCUAUAAAAAUACGAUUUUUUUAGCUUCAAGCUUUUUGGGGGAAAAAAUGUUUACAGCAAUAGUUGCUAUUCAGAUUUCUUCCCAGUAGCUCUUAACACUUUCUUUGAAAAUCGAUCUAUUUGAAGAAAAACAGCUGUUUUUCUCGACUUGGGUGUGGGGUGGUGGAGGGUGAAAGAAAGGAAGACCUUUUGUAUAAAAAAACUGAAAGCCGUCACUGAAAAUUAGAUUAAAACUGGACAAAAAGCCCUAGCCGGUUCAAGCCAAACACCUACGUUAACUCGGUGGUAUUUUCUCUGUCGGUUGGGAUGGCUGGUGAGCUAUUUUGCCUUUUGUUUGAUUUGACUGUGUUUUUGCCUUUUGUUUCUUAAUGAUGAUCACACCAUUGGUAAAUCCAGAGCAGUAAACAGUCCUCAGCGAAGCCGCCUUUUUGCCAGCCCAACCCUGGAAAGUUUGCAGUCGUGGAAGGAGCAGAAAUACCAUGAGUGUAACUUACAAAAAGGUAACAACAAAAGGACACCAUAACCCCAGAUUUUUACCUCAACUAAACAACCAAACAAUACCCCCUCAAAAAAAAAAAAAAAAACCUUAUUUUUAUAAUAACAUCUCCAAAAACACCGCCCAGCUUUUUCUUCUAGACUCCAUGGCACCGGGCUGAGCCGGUCUUGGCCGGAGACCGGAGCAAUGUCUGUGUUGUCCCCACAGUAGACACUCCUUGCUUCCUCUGGACAACUGGAGCAGGCCUAGUUUGACUGACAAGCCUUCCCACUAAGGUAGGUAAGAGCCCUUUCCCGAGUUGAGAGAACUGACUCUGGGAGCUUUGACCUGCGGCCUUCGAAGCGCUGGUUGUGAUCCCCAAACCCGCUGGGCUGGUUCUGCAGCCCCUCCCCCACGCUGAUGUGGCUGAUGUGGCGGUUGUGUGUGUGAAAUGGGCGGCCUGCUGGGUCCAUCCAGCCCCGCCUGUCAGCUUCUGCUGUCGGGCGUUUAGGGCGGGCGAUUCUCUUGCCGAAUUUAGCAGCUUACUAGAGCAGGACUACGAAGUAUUUCCCAGUGGUGUGUUUUAUGGUGGGUGGGAGGGCCCUGGAAGCUUCUGAAGACAGAGACUGCUGUCAGACUUGCCAAUGGUGCUUCAGACAGUCUUCCUGAACCCCAUUGGGGUGACCAAAUGAGCCACCUUCUGAUGUCUGGCUUGCUGGAUAGACAAAGAACCAAAGACCUGAAGUGUUAUCCAGCUUCCCGGGGGGAAAAGAUUUCCUUGGCUUCUCCUUUUCCCGGAUCCUCCUGUCAACAAGGCCAGGUGUUGCUAGCUUGGUGUCUAGAAUGUGUCAAAGCUGGACAGGAAAGUAGGCUGGCCCUUAACCUGUCCGUAAUGACCUUACAUAUUCUGAGCAGAGUCUGCCCAACUGCACCGGCAUCAGAAGUCAGUGGUGGAACCCAUUGACCCUGACCGUGCCUGUCUCUCGGGUUUCUUCUCUUUUUAGACAGUACAUCUAAGAAUUUGCACUUCUUACAAGGCCCCAGGUACUGUCAGGUUUCUAGAUUCCUAGUAAGUGACACCUGGGAUGUUGCCCGGCUUGGUGGCUAGCAGUUGGCUUGCCCUCCUCCCAGGCAGGAAGCUUCGCGGCUGAAAUCCGUGUGGCCCUUGAUCUCUGACCCUUGCCCCCCUAGUGUGUUUCUCGUUACGUUACUUUGAUAAGCCAUUUGGCCGCAGGUGUCGCGGAUCCUGCUGGCUUCCCCGGUUAGGGCCUCAGCAUCCAGCCUCUUGUCUUCCCUUUACCCCUCACCCCUACAGUGAGUACUGACGUGUGGGUUAGGGAGCCUGGAAGGCUUCCGAACUGCGUUGUUGUCGGAGGUGUCUUGGUGCCUUGAAUCAGGGAUGCUUCAAGCCUGGCAACUGUAGGCUAGAUGUGGCCCAAGCUAGUGACCUUGGACCAGUGUCUCUCUCCCUCCCCACCCCCGUGGAGGAAAAAAAAAAAAAAAGCCCACAAUACCUGCUGGAAAAGGUUGGUGGGAGGAUUAAGUGAGAUUAAGGGGGCCAGACGCCUGCUCUGACCUCACAACCAGUUGGCCUCCAUUGUGAUAAGUACUGUUGCUGGGAGUGGCUGCUGGCUGCGCGGGUGGGGGCUGGGCUGUAUCCCCGGCUCCUCCCCGCCAGCCCACUUCCUGAAGCACGUGCUGGAGCCUCCAGGCAAAGGAGAAAGAAAACUGGCUCUGCUUGGGAAGGCAGCCAGCCCUGUUUUUCUUCCAGUGUUUGAGUCCAGCCUGUUCCCGGGCUCGAUGAGCUGUUCUUUGGUUGGGUCAUGAUUUUAAGGGCCACCCACCAAUGGCCCCAAGAGAAGAAAUGUCUCACCCAAGGUUAUGAGGCCACGACAGACAGAACGUGGACAGGGUUCCAGGUGUCUUGAUUUUCAGCCCAGAGCCUGGGCCCAUGACACCCCCUUGCCCAGCUGUCUGGGUUAUUUUAGGCUCCCUCCCGUGCCAGCUGUCUGCUUUUAUCACUGCCAGAGAGCUGUCUGGUAACAAGGAACCACAAUGGUCCUGUGGCUCCUGCCGGUACAGAGGGCCAGGCAUGAAGUCUGCGGAUGAGCCGGCUUUAUGCUGGGAAGGCGAACUCCUCACCCCAAUUGGGGGGGAGGGGAGAAAAGCGCUUUCCUAAGUUGAUUUCGUUCGUACUACAGAUACCCUAGAAGCCUUCUAAUACACUUGAUCUACCCACGGGCUCUGGUUAGAGUCCUUGGGUCUGGGGUCUUUAUCUCCUCCCGCCGCAAACUAAUUGAUUUAAGUCGCGAUGUAGCAGCUGUACCCCUGAGGGCUACAGGCUUUAGGGAUCAAUUAGGCGCUAAACUGGGAUGUGUUUGAAAGGGGAAGAUGGAAGUGAUCGGGCCAACUUGUGACUGUCGCUACUUGACGCUUUUUCACCUCCCUUUCUCCUUUUUUGGCACCCUUAUCACCCCCUGGGCAGUAGGGUGGGGCAGUUUGUCCUGCUGUUGUUCCUGGCCCCGAGAGGUGCCACGCCUACUGGUCACCCACUGAGCUUGGGGCGGGGCUGCUUUGGCCUGCGGAGAGAGGGCCACGCCAGCGGAAGGCUUGCCUGAACCGGGAGGUGCCUGGACUAGCUUUACUACACAGAUUCCAGUGUCCCCGCCCCUUCCGGCUCCUCCACCUGGCCUGGAGCCCAAGUUUGGAAUAUGACCUUUUAGACUCUCUGAGCAACCGAGAUGGGUCGAAAAACCCGCCAUCACCGCUCUCCGGCCCCCCGUGUUUUCUCCGAUUGUUCCGUGCCCUCAGGCGAGUUCUUGCCGUAGGGAACCAGGAGGGGAACGUUAAACAAAAACUUCUUGAGCUAUUUCUAAAAUUUUCGUGUGAUGGAGGAGGGUCUUGCCGUGCCCGGACUAGCCCUAGUGACAGCUUAGAACCGUAGGUACACUCCUCUGCACCAGCGUUAGCUGAUUUUCAGCCUGGCUUCCAGACGUGACUUGCCCAUCCUCCGCUCAGUCCUUAGAGCUGCUGCUAGGCAGCUGAGACCUGGAGGGAGACUGCCGAGUUAGGUAGAUAAGAUAGCCUGCACCCUAGGCAGCCCGGCUUCACCCCUCUACUUUAUCUCUAGGCUCUAGCUGGAGUCUAUCUCCACCUCGUAUCUGUACCAUCUGCAUUUGGAUAGCUCAAUAAUUGAUUUAUGGAGCCUCUGAGAAAGGGGAGUGGAGGCUUCAGCCUCCCCCACCCCAAUUUGUACUUUGUCCUGAACGACGGCCGUUAGUGUGCCUCUGCUCCCCUGGAUCUGUGGUUUAGUCUUCCCAGUGACCACCUGGCAGCUCCCUGAGGGGUUUUGAAGCAAGAACCAGUGGAAGGAAUUUUUUGCUUUCCUAUGCUCUCCAGGAAUUCCUGGACAAUCAGAGUGACCCAGGCCCCCCAGAACAUCUUGCAGAUGAGGGAGUAAGCCACCCUGAGUGGGUGAGUGUGUGUAUCUCCUCAGCUGGGCCGGCUUGGCCCUGCCUGACCUCUGAGGAGGCUCUCAGAAGCAGCUGGCUGGAUUCCUAGGUAUUUUUAGCUACAGAUUUAGCCCCACCAUCACCACGAGCUGAGUCCAGAUCCAACACUCUAGGCCUGGUAGUGCUGGGGCUCUGCCAGCCUCCUGCUGAGGUGGAGCUGGGUGGGUAGGCAGGCUGGAACCGGUGGCAGUGUGCUGCCUGAACCCACCGGAGCCAGAACUAUUCGCUUCUCGUCAUUUCCUCCAUGCAGCUUCCUGCAGACUUGCUCUGUCACCGAGGCUGGAGAGUGGAGAUGCAGGGCUGGGGAAUUUGUGGGAAGCCAGGAGCCCUCUCUUGGUUAUACGUAGUAGAACAAGUUCUUUUUCUUAGAAGUGAAUUUUCCCCACUGGCAAACGCAGCCAGUCAGUCUCCUGAGUCAAGAGCCAAGCCAAAAGACACCCCAGAGAAGAAACCUGGGGUCCUGCAAAGGUAAGCGGUUCCCAACUUACUCCAAAUCUUCCUCUCUUUGUACCAUUUUUAUUCCAAUGGCCUGCUCUUCUUCUGAGGAACCCCACCACCUCUGGCAUAUCAAUGGAAAUUGUCCUGGUUCUUUACUUUUUUUUCUGCCGCCCUCAUGAGCCACUAAGAGAUAGCCUAGCCCUUCCUCCCCUUGACAGGACUCGGUUGAGUCUUGUCUGUUGUGUUUCUUUGCAGCCCUCCUCCCCCCUUCAACCAGCACUUAGGCCCUCCCUGAUUUAGCCCGUUACCUUGACAACCACUUGGGCCUGUCUCCCUUAUCGCCACUGAAAACCUGAAGGUUUUCCAGCUGUGGUACAUUUGCCCGAGUUGGGCACCCCUCCAGCGUCUAUUGGCUCGCCCUCCGUGCUGUAGCCAAUAUAACAAACACAACCUUCCCGGUCCCUCAGCUGUGGUCUCGAAAUUGAUCUCACUGGUCCCGGGAACUCCCAUCACCUCCUCCAGACUGAGCUCCUCACAGGCGGGAACAUGGUUGUUUCUCAAUAAACAAGUUGAAAAAGGAA